UACGUAGGGUCCGAGCGUUGUCCGGAAUUAUUGGGCGUAAAGAGCUCGUAGGCGGUCUGUCGCGUCUGCUGUGAAAACUCAGGGCUUAACCCUGAGCUUGCAGUGGGUACGGGCAGACUAGAGUGCGGUAGGGGAGACUGGAAUUCCUGGUGUAGCGGUGAAAUGCGCAGAUAUCAGGAGGAACACCGGUGGCGAAGGCGGGUCUCUGGGCCGUAACUGACGCUGAGGAGCGAAAGCAUGGGGAGCGAACAGG
rnacentral:rRNA from 1 species